rnacentral:lncRNA from 1 species
GUGGCAUCUAACAGUAUGUAGUGGCAACUUAGUAGAACUAAAAAAAAAAACUUAAGGUGUAGUUAACAUGUGAUUCGAUUCCUCUAUCAUGAAUCCUGACUAGAUGGUAGGUCAUGGAUAAAUCAUCAAACCUCAUCAUCAGUUAUAUGAUAGAUUCAAUUAGUUCAAGUCCAAUUGUGAUCCUCAUAGAAACUCUUUUCUAUUAAUUAUACUGCUGUAGCCACAGGCUCUCAGACUUAGUCUCUCAAAUCCUGUAGGACUACUCUUCUCUACCAAGGUCGAUAGAUUCUAUCUAGAUGUACAUCCUACUC